rnacentral:lncRNA from 1 species
AUUUAUCAAGACCUUUGUUCCAAACAUAUCAAAUGACUUUUUUGUCAAGUAAAUAUGACAUGGCAAUAGUUAAAAAUAACUGUUGGAAAAUUCUGAUUAAUAUAGGGUUUGGAAUGCAAAUGACACUCAAAGCUAUAAUCAAUGCUGCUUGGAUUUCCAGUGGUUAUUUCAUAGGAGUUUUCAUUUCCAUCUAUCAGAUGCCAUUGCCUAUGUGGUCUCCAUAUCACAGCCAUCUCUCUGCAGCUAUGACAGAACACAGUGUCAGACUCAACUGAUGGUCUCCAAGUCCCUGUGGACCAUGCUGCUGCGCAGACAGAAAGACAUCGAUUUUUGUGUCGGGGGUAAUGAGCAUCUUUCUUUCCACCUGCAGUUUUCACUGCCAUUCUUUGUUUGCCUGUUGAUCCCACACAAUUCUUUCCACCUGACAUUCUCCCUCUCUCACAGGGCUCUUCAUUCUCCCCCACCUUGCAACCCAGGAUGACUAUGGAAAUUUGAAACAAACAUAAAAUAGAACUCCAUCUUGGUGACAUAGAAAAAUAUGAUGAAGUUAUAGAUUUUGAGAUAAGGAGAUGAGCCAAAAACAUCCAAGAGUGACCUUCGAAGCACUAACACCCUCAACUGACACAUGAAACUGACCAUUAAGCUCCACUGUUUUCUGGCUCUUCCUCUGCUCUGGUUGGCUGUGGACUUGCCUGCUUGCCCUGUAAGGCUGGGAUUGUUGAAGGAGAAGGUGUGGGACGGUUCUUACGCUGGCAGGAGACCUGGAGUCGGCUUCCCGACUGCAAACGGGAGCUCUGAGUCAGCCUGGCCUCUGCAUUGCUCCUCCAUUUCAGGUCCUGUGAAUUUCCUGAUUUACUUUUCCCUGCUUUCCAGUAUCAGUCUUUUGUAUUCCUAUGUGUGGCAGUUGUAGCUUUACCUUGAUCUCCAGGACCUAUGGGUUUCUGAGCUCUUAACUGUAGGUGUGGCUUGUUUCACAGUUUUACUUCAAAGCCAAUUCUGAGGACUGACUUUUGCCUGUUACUGACUCCGUGACUUGUUCUAAUUCCAAACCUCUGGAAUGGUGUUGCCCAUCUCUCUCCAUUGUCACCUCUGCCUUGACCACCCUCCGUUGGGGUGUUCCCACUGCUGUGCCUCCCUCUACCUGACGUUCCCUGUGCUGCUUGGCUCCUCGCCCAGGCUUGGCAAUAGGCAAAUGCCUUGUCAGAAUGCACUGUCAGCAGAGAUUUUCUUGGAAAGAGAAAUUUAAAAGCACCAGAUGAGGACUGAGUUAACAAUACUUUUUUUCUCUUAAUCAGUUACUUCCUAUUUUCAUUUAAUUUAUCUUUUCUGAUUUUUCUAAGGUGCUACACAUACAUUUUAUUAAUAUAGUUUUUAAAGAUUGUCAAACGUGUUUUUCAGAAAUGACUUGAAGAGGUUAUGAUGCCUGAAUUUCUGUAAUUUAUAUGUGAUUGGCUGCCUGUCAGAAAGCAAAACAUGUGGGAGGUUAUUUUGUAAUAACAUUCCUAAAUCAUCUGGUGUGCUUAACAGAUAAUAGAACAUUUAUUUCUGAGGCCUUUAGAAAGCAUUCCUCUCUUUUUAAAUAUCGUGUAAGAUUGAACACAGGCAAUCUUGACUUAAAAAAUUAUACAUGCUCAAGACAUACUUAUGAUCUUUUUUUUGUAUUCUGAUUACUGGCUUGAGAAAACUAGCACAAAGUUAAAUAGAAUUAUUUUAAUGAUAUCAUCAGGAAAGAAAAUUGAAAUUGUUGAAUAAAAGAUGACUACUUUAGUAGAUGAAGAUAUUU